UACAGAGGGGGCAAGCGUUGUUCGGAAUUACUGGGCGUAAAGGGCGCGUAGGCGGCCUGUUAAGUCGAACGUGAAAUCCCCGGGCUCAACCCGGGAACUGCGUCCGAUACUGGCAGGCUUGAAUCCGGGAGAGGGAUGGUGGAAUUCCUGGUGUAGCGGGUGAAAUGCGCAGAUAUCAGGAGGAACACCCGGUGGCGAAGGCGGGUCUCUGGACAGUUCCUGACACUGAGGCACGAAGGCCAGGGGAGCAAACGGGG
rnacentral:rRNA from 1 species